UGUUAAAAAAUUCAUCCAUUUGUAUUUUUAAAAACUGACUUGACUGAUAGAACAACCUGGUAGUUACACGUACCUCAUUCUGACAUACAUGGACUAGUUUUUAAUAGUAAAAAGGAUGGAACUUUAAACA
rfam:Gossypium hirsutum cultivar TM-1 unplaced genomic scaffold scaffold2668.1, whole genome shotgun sequence